rnacentral:lncRNA from 1 species
GUGAUGGUGUAGGUACAGAAUGUAAUGGUAUAGGUACAGUGUCAGCGUGUCGGUACAGUGUUUGAGGGUGUAGGUAUAGUGUCAGGGUGUAGGUACAGUGUUUGAGGGUGUAGGUACAGUAUGUGAUGGUGUAGGUAUAGUGUUUGAGGGUGUAGGUACAGUGUGUGAUGGUGUAGGUACAGUGUUUGUGUCUGAGCAGAGGGUCAGUUGGAUCAGAAUAUCACAAUGAUUCUCUCAGGUCUUUUCAGUAGCACUGGGUCUGUAUGGA